AUCCAGUUGACGAGUCCAAAACAAGACGAAAUUCACAUCCUGGAA
rnacentral:hammerhead_ribozyme from 1 species